rnacentral:lncRNA from 1 species
UAUGAUGUGCUGAGACUGGGAUAGUGACAGAGCCUGGAUUACAACUACUCUGGACUCAUAGUCCUAUGCUCAGACUAUUAGGCUGCCAUGAUAUUGCAGAGUUCGAGUUACUACCAAUUGGCCAGAACAAAGUCACUGCUAAAUGUAUUUUUAACUAGCACCUAACUGAUGGUUAUCUUUCAGGGGCACUCAAUAAAUGCUCAUCAGCUGAACUCAUUCUAUAGAAGCUUUACAACAAGUAAAGCAAAUUUUAGGGCAAAAAUCACAGGGUUUGAAAAAGGUCAGUUAUUUAAGAUGAAAAGAUUUUCUGACUGCACCUGUUCAAUACGAAUGCGUUCCCUUUCCAAGCGUUCGCGUUCCAUUCUCUCUCUCUCUAGUUUUUGCCUUUCAAUUUCUAGGCGCUCUCUCUCUCUCUGUAAGCGUUCCCGUUCUUCCCGUUCACGAAUUAUUCUAAUGCGUUCUCGCUCUCGACGCUCUCUUUCUGCAAUCUCUCUUCGUCUAACAAAAAUCAGUAUUUAGAAAUACUUAAAUUAUGCUAGCACUGUGUGAAAGAGAAUAGCUUUUGAGUUUGAAUUUUUCCUUGUGGUUGGCAAGUUUAAACUUCAACUCAAUCUAAGUAGUUUUAAUGUAAUUGGAAAGAGAACUCAAAAUAAAACUUUAAACAGAUUCCAAUGCUGUCACUUAUUUAUUAAGACUGUCAACUGAGCAGCUGAAUUUUAUAGAGUAGUUGCCUCUUAGAGGAUUCCUGUUUAAAUAAAAAUCCCACUAUAAUAAUAGCCCAUUAGUUAAUCAACAUUUUAAUAAGGACAUAUUCUACAAAUAUGUUUACAAAACUACAACUUCUGUUUUUGACAGGAAAUUUUCCAGUAGCUAGUAUGUGUUCUAUCUCCUUAAACAAAGUAGACCUUAUUUUGGUGACUUGGGAUCAUAUCCAUCAACAUGAAUUAUAGCAGAUGCUAUAUAUAAUAAGAUGGUUGCCCUUAAGGGCUUUUUUGCUGUUCACUAGCCCGUGAUUCUUUGAGUCAGGAGGCAGUUCAAAUGUUUGCUGAACUUAAUGAAGAUAACGUAUCGGGACUUUUCACAUUUCUGUCAUCCCCUCACUCUAAGGGCCUCAGUGUGCUCUAUCAGCAUGUCUUCCUCUAGCCACCCAGUGGUUCUCAGUGGGUCAGUACUGCUCCCAUGGAAAUCUGAGGGGCAUUUUAAAUUAUCCCAAUGACCAUCGGGGCCAUUAGCAGCAGCACUGAGUGAAUGGGGACCAAGGAUUCUAGACAGCUUACACUGCAUGGAAUGGUCAGAUAGUUCAGCACAGCAAAAAAAUCUGUCCAAUAUUCAUUAUACUUUCAAAUGUCAUAAUGGACAUUCAUGUCAUUAAAACAAAACAAAAUCACCUUUAAAAAAACUGGAGCCUAGAACUUCACUCAUUGUGAAUACAUGCUAGGUUGGUUGGUUUGCAUGGUUGCAUGGUUGCAUGGUUGGCAUGGUUUUAUAUACACUAAAAUUUCCAGGAAUGCAACUCCAUGUCAAUUAGAAGGAAAAUUAUACUUUCUUAAGACCUUCACCAAGAGUCGCUCACCAUUUCAGAAAUCAUGUUGUAAUGCCAACACCACUCCUGGCAUUUGACUUACCAAAACGACACACCAAUAUCAGUCUGCAUUUGUAGCUGUCACAUUCUCAUUGAAUCUAAAGAGGGUUGUAAACAUCUGACUACUUCAUUAGGUCUUCUAGAGAGUCGUGCCUAAACAUUCAUAUCUGGAAUAUAUGCUUCAUUAUAAUUUACUUUUAUUUCUCCUUUGUAUUAGAAUUAAGGCAUUAUAUUGGUUUUUUGGAAAUUAUUUGCAUAGGCAUAUAACACAUUUGUAGGCCUAUUAUGCAUCAAUUACAUUUCAGCAGAGUAAAGAGGACGCUGCAACUUUUUUUUAACAUAACAGGGGUGCUGGUCUGAUAGGCAUGAGAAUCCCUGCUCUAGCAGCUCCCACGCUCUCCUCCUGAUCUGUCAUCUAAAUAGGAAGCUCAGCAUAUUAGGACUUCAUCAAAAAAAAGCAAAUGGAUUCUGAGCAAUGCGAGGAUUAUUUCUCUCUAAUAAAGUGUGUGGCAAUCACAGUACUAUUUAAGUCAUCACAAGUGUCUGGUAAUUCCUGACGCUCCUGUGAACGAAUAGAUGAAAUCCCAUGAUAAAAGACCUCUCAAUGAGACAGGUUAAUAUUUGGAAAUUUAUAUUAUAAAACACUAUCACAAGAAUACUUUAAGUGGCAUCAAAAAAUUGACAUAUGAAAGCAAACUGGCAUUCAUGGCAAACUGUUGAGAUAGAUACUGCCACUAAAAAUUGAAAAUGUUUUGUUUUGUUCUCUGUUUUAAAGAGAAUGCUUGCUUUGAGACAGAGCUUGAACACAUUAAGGUUCACAAGGCAAAAUUCCUUCACUUCCUUUCAAUUUCCAGAAAUCUGGUUUAUAACUAGUGUUAAAGAUGUACCUACAGGUAAAGACAGGUAUAAAAUAGACACUUGAGAACCUAUAGAUUACGUUGAGGCUAUCUUAUGUCACCAUCAUUUUUUCCUUUAAAAUGUUUUUCAUGGCGGCAGCUUUGGAGUAGAGGAAAGAGCAUUGGACUUGGAGUCAGAAGACUUGGGUCUGAGUCCCGACUCUGCCACUCAUUAGCCAUGUGGCAUUUGGAAGAGUCUUUUAGCCUCUCUGGGCCUCCAUUUUUUCAAUCAGAUAAUGGGCACACCUAACCGUACAGAACAGCUGAGACAGAGAGAACAGAUGGAAAGGUACUUGGUAAAUUACAAAAUGCUAUGCAAACUUAAGAAAUCAUUAGGUUUUACUCCAUUUCUUAAAAGUGGCAAACAGCUUUCUUGGGAAUACAAUUUCUAGGAAUCUGGUUUGUAACUAGUGUUAAAGAUGUACCUAUAGGUAAUGACAGGUAUAAAAGAGACACUUUUCCUACCUUCGAAGUUCCAUUGCUCGUCGCAAUCUUUCAAAGCGAACUAAAUGCUCUCUUAGUCUUUGUUCCUUCAUCUUUUCAAAAGGCAAGAUGUCUUUCCUUCUAUAGUCUUUGUCCCUUUUUUUAUCUAGGCUAGCUCUCUCCUUUUCCUUGCUUCUUCCAUGAAUCUAUAAGAAAAAAAGUGUAACAGGACCAGAAGUUAAAAUAAUGUGGAGUUUUGGUUUUCAAGUUCAGCUGGUCAUUUAAAAAGCUUUAAAAGAGUAAUGACAUUCUAUUUUCCUUGAUUUUCAAGUUAUAGAGAUACUGAAUUAUCUUCUUUUGAAAACAGCAGAAUAGUACACAGCAGCCCUCUCAGAGACUUACUUUCUCAUAUCUUCCUCUUCUUGAUGGCCUACAAUGAUCUCCUUUAGUUUGGUCUAGUAUUACCAUAUGUCCUGGACUCUUUGAACCUAAGAGGAAAAAAAAAAUUACAUAAACAAAUGUCUAAACACUAUCUCAUUAAAAAAGACAGUAACUAUCAUGUAAAAAUGCUGAAAUCUUAGAUAGCCAGAUAUUCACAACAUAGUGCAUGAAAUAAAUAAACCUACUUAUUCUAUGAGAACUUAACUGCAAAUAGUCUUUAAAAAGAGCUCAACCCACAAACAUAAUUACUUUCAGUGAUACCAAAAGAUCCCAACUCUUAUGGAAACCAAUUUGACAAUCAAUUUCAUAUUAAAAAAGAAAAAAACAAAAACAACAAAAGAUCCCAACUCAGUCACACAGCUAUCAAUGACCAUAAAGGGGCUUAGAUGGAAGAACACACUUGUUUCCCAAGAGUACAAAAGAAGACUUCCCCUUCUACCACAGUGACACCUAACAACGAAGUUUAAAUAUUUAUCUGGACUGGGAUCUCAGGUUUUCCCUUCCACUGUAAAAAUGAAAUGGUAGAAAGCAUUAGAAAGGGAUUGAGAAGAAAGAUACAUAAGCAUACUUAUUCGCUUCUUUUCUUCACUUUUUUUAAUCGACUCUGAAGUUUGGCCACUUGAUCCAUUAUCAUUCUUCUCAUCUUUACCUUCUAUUUUCUUAGUAUCCUUGCCUUCUUUUUUUUCACAUUUCUCAGAUGACCUUUUCUCUUCUUUUUUCACAGAGGCUUGUGUCCUGAUCAUACCACCCAGGAAAAACACGUAAUGAGAACUUUUGCAGCAAUUUUCCAAAAAAGUCUAGUGCUUAUCAGAAAAAUAAAUCCUUACUUGCUACUUCUAUCACUUAUGUUUUUUUUGUCUCCAGAACUUCUUGAACUACUCUUUUCAUCAUUUUCUUUCUUCAAUUCUUUCUUAGAAGGAUCACCUUUAACCUGAAAGGUUUAAACAGGAAAAAAAAAAAAUCAGUAUGUUUUGUUAUGUUUCAGAUCACAAAAAAGUAUGUUUUGGGGAGCAAAUGUGGAAAAAACAGAAGUAAAAACAUAAAAAUAAUACUUAAAAACUAUUCCAAAUUCUACUCUCUAUGGGUGUAAACUCUUUAAAUUGAGCACUGCUAGCCCUCGAAGUAACCUCCAUUUUAUAUACAUUUAGGCAAGCUUACUUUUUCAACAGAAAUCAGCUGUCCAUGCAGCUCAGUGCGAUGAAGAUGUGCAAUACAUCUGGAUACCUCUGUGCUUGAAGACAUAGUUACAAUGCCAUAGCACUUUGCCCCAGGACUUCGAGCAUUUGUAACUACCUUUGCACUCAGAACCUAGAAUAUAAAAUAACACUUGACAAAGUUUUACAACUUUACCACAACAUACAUUUCUGAAUAGAUCAAACUUCAGAACUAAUACUAAUCAAAUAAAAGGAUAUAUUCAGGAUACAUGAAUUUGUGAUGAUGGAUACAUUUUGGAUAUAUAUUAUUAUUUUGGUUCAUAUUCUUGUGAUCAUUAUCUACUUUGCUUAUAAUACAAGUACUCAGUAAAUAUCCAGGGGAAAAAUCUAAAGCAUCAAAAACCAGGCUCCUGGAUGGGUCAGUCGGUUAAACAUCCAACUCUUGAUUUCGGCUCAGGUCAUGAUACCACAGUUCGUGGGACUGAGCUCCAUGAUGGGCUGUGCGCUAUUACCACAGAGCCUGAUUCGGAUUCUCUCUCUCCCUCUCUCUUUCUCUGGUCCUCCCCCACACCCUGUCUGUCUGCCUCUCUCAAAAUAAACAUUUAAAAAAUAGCAUCAAGGGGCACUUGGGUGGCUCAGUCGGUUAAGCAUCCGACUUCAGCCCAGGUCAUGAUGUUGCAGUUCCUGAAUUCCAGCCCCUCCCAUCGGGCUCUGUGCCGACAGCUCAGAGCCAGGAGCCUGCCACGGGUCUCCUUCUCUCUCUACCCCUCCCCCUCCUGCGCUCUGUCCCUCUAUGAAAAUUAAUAAACAUUAAAAACAAUAAAAAAUAGUCUCAAAAAGCAAUUGUAAUCUACUUGUUUUGUGUUAAAUUUUUCAACUCUAUAGCCAAAAUACAGCAGUCACAUCAAUGCAAUAAUGACACAAUUAAUGAAAGCAAAGAAAUUAAUAUUCUCAAUUGCAUUUGGGCCAAACUUCCCCUAUCAUAAGCCCACCCUGAAUCUCUUAGAGGAAUAAAAGAGGUAAUUUUCUAGAAAGUUUCUAAAUGAGUGUUAACAAUUUUCUCCAAUGAGUUAAGAAAUUUCAAAAAAUGAAUAAAGAACCAUCCACAUAUAAAAAAGCAGUCUUAAAAACACACCCUACAAAAACAUACUCUAAAAGGAUACACUUUGAGCUUUAAAAAUAUACACCAAUAUAAAAGUGACAAAGAAUUUCAAUUCUAUCAAAGUCAAGAGAAACAGGGAUGGAUGAGUAGGAAGAAAAGUGGCAGUACAAUCUAGUGCUGAACAAAAAGAGAGACAGACAUAAUGCCAAAACGAGAUAAACAGGUGUGGAUGGCUGGAAACUAUCAGCUUUUAUCUCAAGUCUGGGAAAGGCAGACUUGCCCCAACAACAACUUGGUUUUAAAGCCCAAUGUCGUGUUAUAAAAGUACACGGUGUCCUUAUAUAGUUUUAGUCCUAAGAAAUGCCAGCAUUAAAAAACUUCUUAUAUCUCUAACAAUAAAUUACUGAAAACAAAAUAAAAAAUAAACCGAGGCUGAUCACAGGACUACAGUUCUCAGUGUUGUAUAUCUGACACCUAUAAGAAUCCUUAACACUCAGGCAACUCUAUAUUAGAAGAAGAAGAAAAAAAAGACUUCUGAAAUCAACAGAAUAGAUUUUUAUAACAUUCAUGAAUGGUUAUUCACCAAUAUUGGUCAUUAAUUUAACAAAUAUUUCAAAGCCUACCGCAUGCACUUAAAGUACAGCAGACGAAGUCCCUGCUAUCAAAGAGACUACACUGGAGGGGUGCCUCCAGUCAGUUAAGAGUCCAACUCUUGAUUUUGGCUCAAGUUAUGAUCUCACAGUUCCUGGGACACAGGGAUCCAGCCCUGUGUCACACUCUGCGGGGACAGCACGGAGCCUGCUUGGGAUUCUCCCUCUCCUUCUCUCUCUGCCCCUCCCCCUCUUCUGUGUGCAUGCUCUCUCUCUCUCAAAAUAAACAUUUAAGAAAAAAAGAGCUUACACUGGAGUAGAUUACAUAUGACAUAUAAUGAAAACAAAAAUAUAAGGCAGAAAGGAGUGAGUGCCCUAAAGGAUACAAAUCGACUACAAUGCAAUUCAACAACUAUUAAUUGAGUAUUUAAUGCAUUAAUGCAUUUAAUUAUUGGCUAUUCUUCUGUUAGAUCUUCCCUUUAUAUGCCAGUAUAUAUUUUUCUGAUGAACCAACCACAGUCGAGCCUCCCCUUCUGCUCUCUUGGCAACUCUUCCAUCAUAGCACAUAUCACAACUUCUGAUGAAGGAUAUUUUCACCAGUUUUACAUUUUUUUCCACUACUGUACUGGAAUCUGUAUGGUGACAGGUGUAUCAGUUCCCACCCCCACCAAAUUCUAUAUCCCGUUGUCUAAUAUUUUCCAAAUGACUAGAUUAGCCUUAGAUACUCUAGUUCCUAGAAAAAUCAUGAUGAAUGUGAUGAAUAACUCAGUCCUUGGCUGAAAUGGGCUUAAAAUAUGAGCUUUUAGGGGCGCCUGGGUGGCUCCAUCAGUUGAGCGUCCGACUUCAGCUCAGGUCAUGAUCUCACAGUCUGUGAAUUUGAGCCCCGCAUUGGGCUCUGUGCUGACAGCUCAGAGCCUGGAGCCUGCUUCGGAUUCUGGGUCUCCCUCUCUCUCUGCUCCUCCCCCACUCAUGCUCUGUCUCUGUCUCUCAAAAAUGGAUAAACAUUAAAAAAAAAAAAAAAGAAAACUAUAAUAUGAGCUUUUAAUACAAAGAUCCCCAGGCUCAGAGUGAGAUUAUAGGACGAACUCUACGUUACCACAGAAUUCAAUAAUUAUGCUUAAACCAGUCCUAAGAAAAACAAAAAAAACUGGAAGGUUUCAUAUAAUAUUGUUUUGAAUAUAAUUCCUUUCAAACGGACACACGAGAAAGAUAGAUAAACAGGUAAAAGCAGCGUACCUUUCCAUAUUUGCCAAAAAGGUUCUUCAAAUCAGCAGCUUUGGUAUUAGAAGAAAGUCCACUAACCCAGAUAUUUUUAGUUGAGCUUCCACUGCUACCACUAGUACUACUUGUACUGCCUAGAACAAAUUUAAUAUCAGACAUUUUAGUAUCUCCACUGGAAUUUUUUUUAAUAAAAUGAUUAGAUCCAUCUUCUUUCAAAAUUAUAGAAUUAUCUUUUGACGUAACUAAAUCUAAUAGCACAACCUCGCUGUAUCAAAAUCCUAUGAAUUUGCUAUUAUUAAAAUCAAACACAAUAGACGAUACAACUAGUGAGGAAACAAAUCUGAACAUCUGUAUAGUUUCUACUGCAUGCGUUAAACUGAAGUGGGUAAAAAAUCAGUUACAGGUCUUGACUUUGUUAAGUUUAAUAAUUUAUACUCUACCACUGCAAUGAAUAUAGACAACUGGAAAGCAGUCAUCUAGAAAUGUACAGAUUGCUUAAUUACCCACAUAUGUCCUGGGCUUUAGAUCCUGAGACAUUGGGAGUGCAAAAAGGAACAGUCAAAGGAAGGGAUAAACCAUAUUCAAAAAUGUAAAUGUUUAAUAACAAAGACUAACCAACAGCUCAUCUUCAUUCUCUGGUAGAGAAAGAAUAAAACAGGAAUUAUAUGCAGCUAGAUAACUCUGGAUUUAAUAAAAAACAAUCUUCUAAAACAAAGUUAUUAAUAAGAAUAAAAUCAGAAACCUCAAAAUUCUUUAGAAUAGGUAAAUGGUUACACGAAUUAUUUCUGUACUACCUCCAUACACAAAGUAGGCUGUCAUACACCUAAGUACCAUUUCUUGGAAUACAGGCCUAGUCAGUCACACCCCCCCCCCUCCAGUGCUUUUCUUCAAAUGUGCUGUUACAAAAGGGAGCUUUCACUCAUUUGACUUAAUUUGCAGAACAAUUCUUACCCACUUUAAGGAAAAAAAGUAUGUAAGCAAUUAAAAGUAACAAUUUUUAUAACUGCACGUUAUUGUAAGUAGAAAGAGUAAAAUUUUCAAUGCUUUAAAAUAUUAAUGCCAUAGGUUUUAGUUGAAAAAUUACUGUCCACGUAGACUUAUGAAGAGACGACACAUUUUAAAUAUUAAUGGCUGCUGCAUUUCUACUCUUAAAAACUACAUUUAUCAAAGGAUCGAUUUUAUGAAAUGCUAACUAGAAGACUGUGUAUCUUUUUUUAUGUUAGCAGUAACAUUUGGGCCCAGGUACUUCUCUUAAUUACAGAAAAAAAAAUUUCAAUAAUAGAAAAAAGUUAACAUUUAAACAAGACCACUAAUCUUCUGAAUUUAAAGGGUAACAUUCAAUAAAUCUAUUAAAUUUUGUCCAUUAACCAAAACUGUAAAAGGAUGUGAGUAUUGCAAUUAACUGUCAAUUUAGUACACAAUCACUUGAAAUUCCAACUAUUAAAAUUACCAACAAAAUAACACUAAAUGAACCACAAAAAUCAGAUAACAUUCCUUAUUUAUUCACUGAAGAGGCAUUCUAGGACUUUGCAAUAUCUGAUUGGUGUUAUUUCCCUUAAAGUGAUUUUUCAGAAAACAAGAAAUGUUUUUCAAGUAGACAGCAUAUGUACAAGAGGAAACUAUAGUGCAACAGCCAUGAGAGACCCAGACAUCCCAGUAACAGAAAGUAACCAAAUAUUGUAUCUUUAAGCUUAUAAAAAUUUAAAAUAAAACGAAUUUCCUACAUAAAACUCCUAUCGACCCAAAAUAAGUCAAACCAAGAAGCAAAUUGUAAAGAAUCAAAAAUACCCUAUACUGGCUAUGUUAACAGAAGUGUGCCCUGAUUUAAACAAUGAAAAAAAUAAAACUAAAUGUUAGAGACUGAUUUUCUUUUAAAUAUUAGACUCCACGAAUAUAUGCAAAUAUCAUUUAUGGCACAUUUCCUACUAGACAGAACAGGGAGAAGGUUGGUGUAUAUGGGUUGCAAAUGACUACAACUAAAGAUAAAAUAUUUCUAAAAUUAUAAGGCAAGAAAAUGAAGUAUCUAUUGUAUUAAUAUUCAACACAGGAGCUUAGAACACAAUGUUAAAAAUACAACUUUUAGCAUACUCCUACCAGUUUACAAAUUAAUUAAAGCUUAACACCUCAAUAACACCAAGAGUUUGCCAAAAUCCAUAUAACUCAACAGUCUGCACAAAAGCCAUCCAGAAAUUUUAGUAUGUAUAUUUUAAACGACUAAACGUCAAAGGAAACCCCAGGCAAUUAUUAUUUUUUAACGAAAAUACGCAAUUUACCACUGAAAUAAAUAGGAAAAAAAUCCAUUACCUUUGUCAUCUUUGGAUGAUGUCUUGCUGUCUUUAGAUUCCUUUGAAGAGCUAAAGAAGCAAAUCACCAGAAGAAAAUUGAAAACAAAAAAAAAACCCAAAAAAACCAAAAAUCGAACAGCUUGAUAUUGACUGCAUUUCAAACUAGUGCUAUUCACACAAAUUAACAAUUCCAAAGGUCUAGAUUAGGUUAUUUGAACAAAUGAUUCCCUUAGGAUUCUUGCACUGAUUUUCCCCAAGAUGCCUGAAGAUCUAGAUUUUCUGACAAUUCUAUUCAGUGGAUAUAUGGCCAUCUUCUCCAGAUUUCAGGACUGGGACUUGACUUCAUUUUGUGUUCUUAGGACUGAUAGUUGUUCAUUAACCAUCAUCACAAGGAUUUUUAAAAAUAAAACACAAAAAAAUUGUCAAUUUGAAAAAAAAAACAAAAAACAACAAAAAAAAAACCAAAUAUAUGCUGACAAUUCGACAAUGCAAUCAGUAGGACACACUGCAUAUUACGAAGAUCUUGAAAUUUUUUUUAAAGUAACUUAUGACGGUCAAAAAUAUUAUAGGCAGGAUCAUAAGUACUAAUUACUGUACAUGGUCUUGAAGCCACCCCCUUAAUGUAGAGUGAUCUUAUUGAAUGCUGGAAUUCAGUAUCGUAAAGAACUGACAUAGAAAAACAAACCUCUUUGCUUGACCAGAGGCCCCAGUAGACGAGGGCCCUUUCUUCAAAGUAUCCUUUUCUUUGUCUCCAGAUUCUGCUUUCUUAGAACUUUCUCUGGCUUCCUUCUCGACAGGAUCCCCCUUCACGCAGUCUUCCUUCUUACCAUCUUUAUGGUUCGCAUUCAUCUCAUAAUCCUUGCUUUCCUUCUCCGGGCUCUGUGCAAUGGCGUCCUGCCCAUCUUUUGGCUUACUUGCUUCAGAAUCUGUAAUUUUCACAUUUUUACCUGUUUCUAGGAGGUCAUCACCAUCAAAAUCCAGAGUGAUGGCAUCUUCAGCCUGGAUUGUGACCGAGAUGUUGUCAUCCUCAGCUUCUUUCACAGUCGCAUUAGCUUCCAUCUCUUCAUGAGCUGUGUGAUCAGCCUCAGCUAGGUUCCCUUCUGAAGGAAGAGGUUUAGAUACUUCUUGUGUACCAUCACCAGAACCUGCUAUAUCUAAGAGGAUUUAACAGGAAUAAAUAUGGCAAAACAAGAAGUUUAAACAAUUUCAUAUUCAUAAGCUAGAAUAGGACCUAGAAAAUAUAAAGCCAGUUAUUAGCACUGAUGGAAGGUUAGGGGAAAAAAAACACAAGGGUAUUAACUAACAUAAACAAUCCUUUACCCAGGAUCACUUAUUCUUCAUGGAAAAAAAUGAUCUCUACAUACAAAUACCAAACAACAAAAGUGGUUGAUGGAAAUGGUUCCAUCCUGAGGAUACCAGCUCUUCAUUUGUGGUUAGAAGUUAAUGGCAUAUGGAAGACGUUUUUCCUCCAUGAGAUAGUGACAAAUGUGCAGAUUUGUUAUUCAAUGUUCCAAUCAUCUUGGGUUUAACCCUUGUGACCUUCAGAAUUCCCUUGGUGACGUCUUGAAAGGUCACAGUCUGAGGAUAUCAAUCAGUCUUCAGAGUUUUUCAGGGCCCCAUCUUUUUCACUCUUCUUACUCAAUUCUUGGGUAGUCCAGAAUCGUAUGGAAAACUGCUACAGAAGGCUCCAAAGAUGGCCUACUCCAUAACGUUCAGGAAAUUGGUUAUUUCCAGUCUUCAUCCUGUCCAGUCAGUCCCGCAAUUACCGUUUUUGAAGAUGUCUUGCAUUCCCCCAAAAUAGAAAGGCUUCAGGCAUGUGAGAUUUUCAGUCAGUAGCUUUACUUCGUCAUCAUUUUUAGGCCUUUAAUUCUGCCUUGCUUAGAACCCUGCUCCAUGUCCUUUCUAGUCCAAAGUAGAAUCCUUUGACUUCCAUCCAAGAACUCUUCCAUGAUAACCUCGUACUGACAAAUGUAUUACUACUGAUGUCCCUGUAAUUGUAUUGGAUGAGACAGUUCUCCUAAACUAUGAAAACUGUCAGAAGGCUAUACGAAAGUUUCUCUAUGUAGCAAACAAAACGUUAGUCUCCUCAUCACCCAUUUUUAGGACCGUUCAUACAAUUAAUUAUCCGUUACACUCCAAUAAGCACGUAUGAGUUACUGCAGUGCCAGUCUUAAGGACGUUAUCAACUUACCGUACGCUAGAAGUUAUUGUAAAAAAUAAAGUUAAAAUUGGGUUAAAUAAAAUAUGGCAUUGUCCACUACAGUAACUGAUAUGUACCAUUAAGUUAGAACAUAUCUUAAAUGUUAAAAAGAAAAUUAAAACCAAUUGAAAAAUGAAAUCAAGAUGCUAACUUAAUUCACUAAAUUGAUAAAUUUGAAAAUAAAGUCAUUUCAAAAAUAAGAUUUCAAAUAAGGAAGGUUUUUGUUCUCACAUAAUUUACUAUUUUUCUAAAUGUCAGCAAUUUUUAAACUCUACUUGGCAUCAAACAUACCUUUCUCAUUUUCUUCUUCCUCACCAUCCUGAAAUUCAAAGAAUAAUCAAAUGUAAAAUGAAUUCACUUAAAACUAGAUUUUAGUAAUAGCAUAAAAUCAGUCAAGUUAAACUGGUAUAUAAUUUAGUAACGUUAAUUAGGGACACCUAUCACUAGCAUAUAUAGGAUCUUCCAAUCAGAACCAGAGGCCAGUUAGAGAAAUGUGGCACAUGUCUGGUAUAUACGGUUUCAGACAAAACAGGUAAAUCUAUCAAUAAUCAGAUCAUCAAUAAACUGUAUUAGUUUCAGUAUUCAAAACUAGUUUAUAUAAAUCUGAAUCUUACUCACAUCAAGCAGUUGCCAAAGGACUGACCUGAUUAUCUUACGUGACUCCAUUCAAAAGCACUUUUAGGGCAUACUAUUCAAAAGUAGUACCAGAAAGUAUAAAUUGAAGACACGCACUUUCAAGGACUUAAAUGCAUAUUAAUAAAACAAACAAACAAAAACUCUUUCCAGGUAUCUCAGAACUCAAAGGGAAGACUACAAGAGCAGUUAUCUUCAAAUUACUCAUUCCUCUGAUCUGCUAAAAAUUAAUUCACAGCAGCCACAUACACCCUGGAGGCCAACUACUUUUAAAAAGGUGUUUGCACAAUAGGUAAUCAAAAGAGUAACUCACACUUUUUAAAAAAUAUGACUGAUUUUAAUUUUAAAAUAUGUGAUCUCCUCACCUAAUCUAAAAUUAAGCAUGUACUAGCCUGAAAACAGGAAUACUGCAAGGGGAUUUUCCCUUUACCAAGCAAAUAGUGCAAAAACCACUGAAGUAGUCAUAAUCACACCAAGAUAAAACCAACAUUUUCCCAUUAAAGAUCUUAACAAAUAACGAAAUAUGCAUUUAAUCUCAGUAAAAGAAAAAAAAAAGUGAAGGGAUGUUUUAACUUAUAACUUUUAAAAUAAAAGCUGAGUAGAGGCACCUGGGGGGGCUCAGUCGGUUAAGCGUCUGACUUCAGUUCAGGCCAUGAUCGGACAGUUCACGAGUGUGAGCCCUGUAUCAGGCUCUGUGCUGACAGCUCAGAGCCUGGAGCCUGCUUUGGAAUCUGUGUCUCCCUCUUUCUCUGCCCCUCCGCCACUCUAUUACUCUAUUUCUCUCUCUCUCUCUCUUUCUGUCACAAAUAAAUUAACAUUUAAAAAAUAAUAAAUAGGGGCGCCUGGGUGGCGCAGUCGGUUAAGCGUCCGACUUCAGCCAGGUCACGAUCUCGCGGUCCGGGAGUUUGAGCCCCGCGUCAGGCUCUGGGCUGAUGGCUCAGAGCCUGGAGCCUGCUUCCGAUUCUGUGUCUCCUUCUCUCUCUGCCCCUCCCCCCUUCAUGCUCUGUCUCUCUCUGUCUCAAAAAUAAAUAAACGUUAAAAAAAAAAAAUUUUUUUUUAAAUAAUAAAUAAAAUAAAGUAAAAGCUGAGUAGAAGUAGAUCCUUUUUGGUCACAGUGGUAUGAAGCUAGCACAUACAAAGCCUUAGAGUAGUGGUUCUCAAACUUUGAGUCUGUAUCAAUCUCCUGGAAGGCUAAUUAAAACAGUUUGCUAAGCACCAACCCAGAGUUUCUAAUUCAGGUCUGGAGGCAGGGCUUGAGAAUCUGCAUCUCUAACAGGCUUCCAGGUGACGCUGAUGCUAUUGUCCAGGGACCACACUUUAAGAACUACUGCCUUAGAGUGACAGCCCAGUAGUGAAAAAAGGCUUAAACUGAACUGUAAAUAAAACUUUAACUGGCAUAUUUAUUUAUAACACAAUUUUAGAUUCAUAGACAAGUGUGCGUUCUUUAAAAAUGUCAAAUAUUUUACCAUAUGUUCAAACUUACAUCUGGCAACAACCAUAUUUCUAAGAAAUCAUUUUAACAGAUUUUUUGACUUUAAGCUAACAUGUAAGUGCCCCAGUUAGGAAAUGCCCAAUUGUUUUACACACUAAAGUGUAUGAAGGAAACUACAAACACUGAAACAACUAAGCCACAAGCUUAGGAAGUAAAAGACUCCUAAACAAGUAGGUUAUUGAUUCAUAGUAAAGUGAAUCUUAUUAUCACUUAAGUCUGCGACAUUAUGCUCUGAUAACUCUAUUGUUGCUCUGGACCACAAUGCUGAACCAGAAUUUAGUUUCAAUCAUUAUGUUUCUAAUCUGCAACAUUUGGAAAGGAAAGAGAAAUGCUUUCACUUGGGUGGCAUGACAGGCAAUGGCAGCAAGGAAAAGAUGGGUGAGACCAGAAUUGGUGAUUUAUCUUUCUCUUUUAGUUUAGUAAUUUGUCUUGGGGGAAUAAAUAUACUGGAAUAUCUUUAACUUUUAAUUGGAAGCAGAACAAAUUAACUUAAAGAAUGCAACUUGCCUCUCCUUUAUCUACCAACAGCAACACCACUUUCCAGUUAUUCUUUUAGAGAUGCGAUACUGACAGGUUUAAGAAAAAAUGGCCAAAUUAUCUCCUGUUUUAAACAGUAAAAAAAUUUUAAUUUUUAAAUUAAAAAAAAAAUUAAGUAUUGUGUGUUUUGUAAGAAACAAAACCCUGGGGCUCCUGGGUGGCUCAGUUGGUUAAGCAUCCGACUUUGGCUCAGGUCAUGAUCUCAUAGUCCGUGAGUUCGAGCCCCGCGUCAGGCUCUGUGCAUGGAUUCUGUGUCUCCCUCUGUCUCUCCCCUCCCAUGCUCUCUCUCUCCAAAAUAAAUAAACAUUAA